rnacentral:tRNA from 1 species
UCUCUGGAGGACUAGUGGUUAGGACACGGUGCUCUCACCGCCGUGGCCCGGGAUCGAUUCCCAGCCAGGGAA